GCCCGCCUAGCUCAAUCGGCUAGAGCGUCAGACUUUUACGGACAUCCCAAAUCCGGACGAACACAUCGGACGGCGCGGGCCACGUGAUCUGAAGGCUGCGAGUUCGACCCUCGCGGUGGGCU